rnacentral:rRNA from 1 species
CACGUAGGAGGCGAGCGUUGUCCGGAAUCAUUGGGCGUAAAGAGCGCGCCGGCGGCUUGGCAAGUCGGGUGUGAAAUCCCGGGGCUCAACCCCGGGACUGCAUUCGAUACUGUCAGGCUAGAGGUAGGUAGGGGAGAUCGGAAUUCCUGGUGUAGCGGUGAAAUGCGCAGAUAUCAGGAGGAACACCGGUGGCGAAGGCGGAUCUCUGGGCCUUACCUGACGCUCAGGCGCGAAAGCUAGGGGAGCGAACAGG